AAGUCGUAACAAGGUUUCCGUAGGUGAACCUGCGGAAGGAUCAUUAACGAGUUCGAAAGUCGGUCGACCGUGCUGGCGGAGACGCAUGUGCACGUCGGUCGCGAACCAUCCACACACCGUGAACCUAUGGCCUGGGGUCUCGAGUUCAGAGCCCCGGGCAUCAUUUUUACACUCUGUUUGUAAAGGAAUGUCUUUAUAUCAUAAAACAUACAACUUUCAACAACGGAUCUCUUGGCUCUC
rnacentral:misc_RNA from 1 species